rnacentral:rRNA from 1 species
ACUCCUACGGGAGGCAGCAGUGGGGAAUCUUGGACAAUGGGCGCAAGCCUGAUCCAGCCAUGCCGCGUGAGUGAUGAAGGCCCUAGGGUCGUAAAGCUCUUUCGCCAGGGAUGAUAAUGACAGUACCUGGUAAAGAAACCCCGGCUAACUCCGUGCCAGCAGCCGCGGUAAUACGGAGGGGUUAGCGUUGUUCGGUAAUUACUGGGCGUAAAGCGCGCGUAGGCGGAUUAGUCAGUUAGAGGUGAAAUCCCAGGGCUCAACCCUGGAACUGCCUUAAUACUGCUAGUCUUGAGUUCGAGAGAGGUGAGUGGAAUUCCGAGUGUAGAGGUGAAAUUCGUAGAUAUUCGGAGGAACACCAGUGGCGAAGGCGGCUCACUGGCUCGAUACUGACGCUGAGGUGCGAAAGUGUGGGAGCAAACAGGAUUAGAUACCCUGGUAGCGACUGA